rnacentral:rRNA from 1 species
GGGAUUGCCCUAGUAACGGCGAGUGAAGCGGCAACAGCUCAAAUUUGAAAUCUGGCGCAAGCCCGAAUUGUAAUUUGUAGAGGAUGCUUCUAGGCAGCGGCCGGUCUAAGUUCCUUGGAACAGGACGUCAUAGAGGGUGAGAAUCCCGUAUGUGACCGGUUGGCACCUUCCACGUAGCUCCUUCGACGAGUCGAGUUGUUUGGGAAUGCAGCUCUAAAUGGGAGGUAAAUUUCUUCUAAAGCUAAAUACCGGCCAGAGACCGAUAGCGCACAAGUAGAGUGAUCGAAAGAUGAAAAGCACUUUGGAAAGAGAGUUAAAAAGCACGUGAAAUUGUUGAAAGGGAAGCGCUUGCGACCAGACUUGUCGGCGGUGUUCCGCCGGUCUUCUGACCGGUCUACUCGCCGUCGGCAGGCCAGCAUCAUCUGGGGCCGCCGGAUAAAGGUUUUGGGAAUGUAGCUCCCCUCGGGGAGUGUUAUAGCCCUUUACACAAUACGGUGCGCCCCGGGUGAGGUCCGCGUCUCGGCAAGGAUGCUGGCGUAAUGGUUGUAAGCGGCCCGUCUUGAAACACGGACCAAGGAGUCGAUUAUCUAUGCGAGUGUUCGGGCGUCAAACCCCUACGCGUAAUGAAAGUGAACGUUGGUGGGAACUUCGGUGCACCAUCGACCGAUCCGGAUGUCUUCGGAUGGAUUUGAGUAAGAGCAUAGCUAAUCGGACCCGAAAGAUGGUGAACUAUGCCUGAAUAGGGUGAAGCCAGAGGAAACUCUGGUGGAGGCUCGCAGCGGUUCUGACGUGCAAAUCGAUCGUCAAAUUUGGGUAUAGGGGCGAAAGACUAAUCGAACCAUUGACUACUAGGUGGUUGAUCCGUUGCUCAACAGCGGAGGCG